UACGGGGGGGGCGAGCGUUGUCCGGAUUUACUGGGCGUAAAGCGCGUGUAGGCGGCAGUUUAAGUCCGUGGUGAAAGGCGGGGGCUCAACCCCCGAGCGGCCGCGGAAACUGGACGGCUUGAGUGUCGGAGAGGGGAGUGGAAUUCUCGGUGUAGCGGUGAAAUGCGUAGAGAUCGAGAGGAACACCCGUGGCGAAGGCGGCUCCCUGGCCGAACACUGACGCUGAGACGCGAAAGCGCGGGGAGCGAACGGG
rnacentral:rRNA from 1 species